UGCAAGGUGUGAGCCACCGCACCCACCCGGCCAGAAGCUGUUUUCUCUCUCUUUGGUAGUUCACUAACGGAAGGUAUUUCUUCAUGGUCCUAGCGUCCCUCUCACAGGGCUGUCAGUGAUCCUGGCACACAGAACAUGCUUGAUAGGCUGGGUGCAGCAGCUCCCACCUGUGAUCCCAGUGCCUGGGGGAGGUGCAGGGGCUCAGGCCUGUGAUCCCACCACUUUGGGAUGCCGAGGUAGAAGGAUUGCUUCAGUGCAAGAGUUAAGACCAGCUUAGACCACACACAGAGACCUUGUCUCUACAAAAAAAAAAAAGUUUUAAAAAUUAGCCAGGGCCGGGCGCGGUGGCUCACGCGUGUAAUCCCAGCACUUUGGGAGGCUGAGGUGGGCGGAUCCCCUGAGACCAGCCUGGCAACACGGUGAAACCCCAUGUCUACAAAAAUACAAAAAUAGCUGGGCGUGGUGGUGGGUGCCUGUAAUCCCAGCUACUCAGGAGGCUGAGGCAGGAGAAUCGCUUGAACCCGGGAGGCGGAGGUUGCAGAGAACAUCACUCUCAGUGAAAUAAGCCAGUCGCAACAGGACAAAUCCUAUUUCAGCCCCGAACUGGGUGACCUUGGCCAAGUGACUCAGCCUCUCGGACCCUCGGGAUCCUCUUCUGUGAAAUG
rnacentral:lncRNA from 10 species